UACGUAGGGCGCAAGCGUUAUCCGGAAUUAUUGGGCGUAAAGAGCUCGUAGGCGGUUUGUCGCGUCUGCUGUGAAAGACCGGGGCUCAACUCCGGUUCUGCAGUGGGUACGGGCAGACUAGAGUGAUGUAGGGGAGACUGGAAUUCCUGGUGUAGCGGUGAAAUGCGCAGAUAUCAGGAGGAACACCGGUGGCGAAGGCGGGUCUCUGGGCAACAACUGACGCUGAGGAGCGAAAGCGUGGGGAGCGAACAGG
rnacentral:rRNA from 1 species